UCCCAGUUCGGAUCGCAGGCUGCAACCCGCCUGCGUGAAGUUGGAAUUGCUAGUAAUCGCGGAUCAGCAUGCCGCGGUGAAUACGUUCCCGGGCCUUGUACACACCGCCCGUCACACCAUGAGAGUCGGGAACACCCGAAGUCCGUAGUCUAACCGCAAGGAGGGCGCGGCCGAAGGUGGGUUCGAUAAUUGGGGUGAAGUCGUAACAAGGUACC
rnacentral:rRNA from 1 species